GGAACUGAGACACGGUCCAAACUCCUACGGGAGGCAGCAGUGAGGAAUAUUGGUCAAUGGGCGAGAGCCUGAACCAGCCAAGUAGCGUGAAGGAUGACUGCCCUAUGGGUUGUAAACUUCUUUUAUAAAGGAAUAAAGUCGGGUAUGGAUACCCGUUUGCAUGUACUUUAUGAAUAAGGAUCGGCUAACUCCGUGCCAGCAGCCGCGGUAAUACGGAGGAUCCGAGCGUUAUCCGGAUUUAUUGGGUUUAAAGGGAGCGUAGAUGGAUGUUUAAGUCAGUUGUGAAAGUUUGCGGCUCAACCGUAAAAUUGCAGUUGAUACUGGAUAUCUUGAGUGCAGUUGAGGCAGGCGGAAUUCGUGGUGUAGCGGUGAAAUGCUUAGAUAUCACGAAGAACUCCGAUUGCGAAGGCAGCCUGCUAAGCUGCAACUGACAUUGAGGCUCGAAAGUGUGGGUAUCAAACAGGAUUAGAUACCCUGGUAGUCCACACGGUAAACGAUGAAUACUCGCUGUUUGCGAUAUACUGCAA
rnacentral:rRNA from 1 species